UACGUAGGUGGCAAGCGUUGUCCGGAAUCACUGGGCGUAAAGGGCUCGUAGGCGGUUUGUCGCGUCGGGAGUGAAAUCCACUGGCUUAACUGGUGGCUUGCUUUCGAUACGGGCAGACUGGAGGUAUGCAGGGGAGAACGGAAUUCCUGGUGUAGCGGUGAAAUGCGCAGAUAUCAGGAGGAACACCGGUGGCGAAGGCGGUUCUCUGGGCAUGUCCUGACGCUGAGGAGCGAAAGUGUGGGGAGCGAACAGG
rnacentral:rRNA from 1 species